UGAAGAACCUGGAAUCUCCCG
rnacentral:misc_RNA from 1 species